rnacentral:rRNA from 1 species
UACGUAGGGUGCGAGCGUUGUCCGGAAUUAUUGGGCGUAAAGAGCUCGUAGGCGGCUUGUCGCGUCGGAUGUGAAAGCCCGGGGCUUAACCCCGGGUCUGCAUUCGAUACGGGCAGGCUAGAGUUCGGUAGGGGAGAUUGGAAUUCCUAGUGUAGCGGUGGAAUGCGCAGAUAUCAGGAGGAACACCGAUGGCGAAGGCAGAUCUCUGGGCCGUAACUGACGCUGAGGAGCGAAAGCGUGGGGAGCGAACAGG